GUGGUGACUUUGCUGGACUCACUGGGCUUGGCUUCAUGAGGUCUGCUGCCGUCUUGGACAAGAACAUGACAUCAUCUGUCGUGUGGAUUUUUAGGGUUUCCAAAACCAGAAUACUGGUGCUGGAUCUUUACCUGUAGUUGACCAUGAUACCACAAGAGUUGGCUAAACCACGAGGAGAACGGUCAGCAAGCCAAUUAAUUCGCCACAUAACUGCCCCAUUUUUUAGAUGGAAAUUUGCUGAAAAUCAGAGAGAAAGUUUUCAUCAGUCUGACAGGAGGAUUCCCAAGUGAUGCGCUGUACAUUUAGAAGGCCAACUGUGAACCAAAGAGAAAGCAAUUCUCGCAGUGUUGAAUCAAGAGUCUUAAGCGCAGCUGAGUGAGUAGGGUCAGAGGAUGAAGUGUAGAGGGUUGUCUGAAAUUAAGAAACCUUACACACUGCUGCUUAUUCCCAUGUAAAAAGAGAGAUAAAGUAAUGUGGCAGGCGGGUGAAUAGUACAGAAAAAAUAUUAUUGCUUAAAUCCUUUCAUAUGUAUUAAUUCUAUGAAACAAUUCUAUGAAAAGAAAGAUAGUUCACAGAAACAAUGACAAAAUACAAAUAUCAUGAUAUAGCAAUUUGCAGGAAUUCUGGGCUUAAUAAAAGACUAGGUAAAUAAACUCAAAUUAAAUAUUUUUCUAAAAAAUUCACCAAAGAUCAACAAUACAGCGAAAAACGUCUUACAAGCAAAUCUUGACGCAUAUCAACAAGGAACUUGACACCUCCUGAGAGCCGUGACACUUGAGAUGCCACCCAAUGAUGUGGCGGCUGCAGAGCUUGCCUUAGUCGGUCCUCCCAACGCAUUAAGUGGGCAUCCAGGUCAGCAUCACUGGUUCCUUCCUAUAUAUAUUUUAGACAAAUCUAAAAAUGCAUAUAUAUCUUUCUAUGGUUGCUAACUUUAAUAAAUAUCAAAUGCUAAGUUCAUUUACAAGAAAAAAGUUUGUAUCAGUAUAUUAAAGAUGUAUACAGUUUCAUAAACUGUCAAAUAUAUCAACAAUAAAAGACUUGCCUGUG